rnacentral:rRNA from 1 species
AGUCACUGACAUUAGAUACCCGGUAGUCCAGGGUGUAAAUGAUGCGAGUUAAGUGUGGGGGCAUCUACGAGAUGGCCCUGUGCUGUAGGGUAGCCGUUAAACUCGCUGCCUGGGAGUACGGUCGCAAGGCUGAAACUUAAAGGAAUUGGCGGGGGAGCACCACAAGAGGUGGAGGCUGCGGUUCAAUUGGAUUCAACGCCGGAAAUCUUACCGGGACCGACAGCAACAUGAAGGCCAGGCUGAAGACUUUGCCGGAUUAGCUG